rnacentral:rRNA from 1 species
UACGUAGGGUGCGAGCGUUAAUCGGAAUUCUGGGCGUAAAGCGUGCGUAGGCGGUUCGCUGUGUCCGAUGUGAAAGCCCCGGGCUUAACCUGGGAAUGGCAUUGGAAACUGGCGGGCUUGAGUGCGGCAGAGGGGGGUGGAAUUCCGCGUGUAGCAGUGAAAUGCGUAGAGAUGCGGAGGAACACCGAUGGCGAAGGCAGCCCCCUGGGUCGACACUGACGCUCAGGCACGAAAGCGUGGGGAGCAAACAGG